UACGGAGGGUGCAAGCGUUGCUCGGAAUCACUGGGCGUAAAGCGACCGCAGGCGGCCUGACAAGUCGGCUGUGAAAGCCCUGGGCUCAACUCAGGAACAGCAUUCGAAACUGGCAGGCUUGAGUACGGGAGAGGGGGGUGGAAUUCCUGGUGUAGGGAUGAAAUUCGUUGAUAUCAGGAGGAACACCGGCGGCGAAGGCGGCCCCGUGGCCCGCAACUGACGCUCAUGGUCGAAAGCGUGGGGAGCAAACAGG
rnacentral:rRNA from 1 species